ACACCAAUAUGUUAACGGUGUCUUCAACUGCCGUCCUUGAUUUUGGCCAUCUUGACAGUAAUUAGCAGAAUUCAAGGGUAUCUUGAAUUUUCCCUCUAAGUUUGAUUUUCUUGUGGUUUUAUUAAACAGAUACAGAUGGAGGCAGUAGCAUGGUAACACCUCAAAAUCAAGCAUCCAGCAGCUGAAUCCGAAAAACACAAGAACAAGGUGGUCUCAGAAAUUUGGAGUGAAGCCAGAGGUGAAGUGAGACUUUCUGAAGCUGCAACAAUACCUCUACUCUACUUAAAGCAAUUUCUGGUGUCAUCACCAUGAGAAGGACAUACCACCCCAGAAUAAGGAGAGGCAAAUGGAUUAGACUUGAAAUGAACCCAGAGCCUGGAUUCAAGCACAGCUAAACCCAGCUUGGAUCUCGUAAUUCCCAGUCCUGUGCAGAAGAACCGUGAGACCUACAAUAUAUUUCAAUACCUUCUUUCAAUAAAUAAAUGCUCAAUUUUGUAAGACA